rnacentral:rRNA from 1 species
CCUACGGGAGGCAGCAGUGAGGAAUAUUGGUCAAUGGUCGCGAGACUGAACCAGCCAAGUCGCGUGCAGGAUGACGGCCCUAUGGGUUGUAAACUUCUUUUAUGCGGGAAUAAAAUGUGUCACGUGUCCUGUUUUGUAUGUACCUUAUGAAUAAGGACCGGCUAAUUCCGUGCCAGCAGCCGCGUUAAUACGGAGGGUCCAAGCGUUAUCCGGAUUUAUUGGGUUUAAAGGGUGCGUAGGCGGUUUGAUAAGUUUGAGGUGAAAUACCGUGGCUCAACCAAGGCACCGCCUCUAAUACUGGGGAACGAGAGUGGAGUGACGGUAGGAGGAAUGCAUGGUGUAGCGGUGAGAUGCUUAGAGAUCAUAAAGAACACCGAUUGCGAAGGCAGCAUACGAAACUAUAUCUGACGCUGAGGCUCGAAAGCGUGGGUAGCAAACAGGAUUAGAUACCCUAGUAGUC